rnacentral:rRNA from 1 species
AUUGAACGCUGGCGGCAUGCCUUACACAUGCAAGUCGAACGGUAACAGCACUUCGGUGGCUGACGAGUGGCGAACGGGUGAGUAAUACAUCGGAACGUGCCCGAGAGUGGGGGAUAACGCAGCGAAAGCUGUGCUAAUACCGCAUACGAUCUACGGAUGAAAGCAGGGGAUUCGCAAGGACCUUGCGCUCAUGGAGCGGCCGAUGGCAGGAUUAGGUAGUUGGUGGGAUAAAAGCUUACCAAGCCGACGAUCUGUAGCUGGUCUGAGAGGACGACCAGCCACACUGGGACUGAGACACGGCCCAGACUCCUACGGGAGGCAGCAGUGGGGAAUUUUGGACAAUGGGCGAAAGCCUGAUCCAGCCAUGCGCGUGCAGGAUGAAGGCCUC